CAAUCACUGACCGUCUCUGUUCGACAAUCCAAAAGACACCAAGUGCUCCAGUAUAAUUUAUUAUUUCUCCACUAUAAAUACGAAACGUCCUUUAAUUGCUAAACUAAUGAAAAAGAAGCAAAUACCACUGAAGAACAUUAAUCGAUCCCAUUGCUGAUGGGGCACUGCUGAUGAGUGGAAACGUCACAAUGUAACAAUUUUCAAGAAAAAAAAAUUCUUCAAUUAGUUGGCUUCCGUAAGAAUCAUUUUGAAAUGACUUAAUUCAAACAUACACAAAAAAACUAUGUAUGUGAAGAAAAAAGCAUACAUCGUAAUGGAUUAUUCUAUGCAGACUUCAGGCAUUAGCUCAGUGCAACUAUUAUAUGUCAAGUUAAAUAUUCCUUUUAUGAAUUUCAUCAGCUCAUAACAUCUCGAGAGAUGAUACCCGAAUCGUAGGUAUUUAUAAACCGGGUUAUAAUUAUAAAUUAAUUAUUCGCAAUCACCACUGAAAGAAACAAAGGCUCGUAAGACUGGAUUGUUUACAGAAUUAAUGGGUUGAUGAAUAUUGACGGCAGCCAGAAAGUCUUUUACAGCUUUAUACAUAUCACAGAUUAGCCAGAAUACGAUAAUAAAUCACGUGCAUCACGAUAUGAUGAACUCCAAAAAACCGAAUAGUCGACAUUGGUCUACACACGCACACACUACUGCAUCUGUCAAGCGUUGUGCGUUUCUGCUGGAGCCUUUCAUCCAUAUAGAAUGUUGGGAAAGCACCACUGGAGGCGUGGCAGUAGCUAGUAAUAAUGUUGAAUGACCGCUCAAACGAUCGAGAAUCGUUUGCAGGUGAUUGAUAGAUGAUCAUCAAUCCCCUACAGAACACUAAUUAUGAAUUGUUGAUUAAAAAUCAUUUUGGAGUUACUGAGCUCAACGGAGGCGGAGUAGGGAGGUCGCCAUAUUGCAUCCAACAGCUGACGGUUUGCAUUUCGGAGCAUGGCGAUAAACUACUCCGAAACAACAGAUUCAUUUUAUUAUCCAAAAUAGGCAGAGAAUAUGAUCUCCACUGUUGAAUGUUUUUUCCUGAAUAAUCGUCACAUAAUUGCAACUGAAUGACAAAGCGGUUUUAGAACAAUUCCAACAAUUUGUGGAAGUGAUCUUGCAACAGUUAACAGUGAAAAAAUAGAGAUGGAUUUCUUCCAGGUACGGAUGAAAUACCUCGACCGAUUUCAUCGAAAAAGGGUCCAAAAGAAAGUGAGUUGAAAUUAUUCAUGUAGUUUGGCACAAUCCCGAUUACGCAGCUUUAAUCAACAAUUCAGAAGGAAAUGAGACAUUCGAAUUAAUCAAUAGUCUUCUUUCCAAUCAAUCUCACGAUCUCAUCUACAGGAGCAGGGCGCAAAUAUUGUUAUCUCUUCGUGACACUGACGUAUGUUAUUCUACUGAGAAAAUGUGGAAUGACAUUCCAAUAUUAGAAACCGAAGUUGUGGUACACCAGCCGAUGUUUGGAGGAAUUGUCUUUUGAAUAAACCGAGCCAAUGGAAAAAGUCUGAUUGUACUUGUGGGAGCUAUAUCCAACCCAUUUCGAUCUUGGAGCCGAAUAUUACUAAAUCAUUGAUCACAUCAAACAAGUUACUUUUACCUCUGGAGUUUCAUGAAGUUUUAAAAAAGGUGCAAUGUCGCCGACCUCUUUGUACCAGCAGAUGUAAUGUACAGACAACACCCAAUUUCCAUCUAUUCAUUCAUUUGAAGCGAUCAACUAAGUGUUUGCUUGGGAAUGUAUUUAAAAUGAUUGAAAUGGGCGAUCAGUAUCAAAUUGCUGGGGUCAUCAGUGCAUUUCAUGACCGAUACGUGGCCUUUAGUUUAGUGAAUGGAAAGUGGUGGUUGUGCGACAACCAGCAGCCAAACAUCCAAAUGACAUCAGAUGUAGAAUUCGUUGAACUGGUUGGAUUAAUUCAUAUUUUAAAAAGUGCAAUGAGUUGCUAAGCAUGUUAAAAAAAAUAUCAAUUACGAAAGUUAUUCUAUCAAAGAUGAAUAUUUAUUUGUUUUCCAAUAAAAAAAU